CGUGUUUGCUCAGCCAAUAUUGACUUUGCAGGCUAACACUGGUGCUAUUGAGCCAGGGUUAUUCUCAAUAUUGUUUGAGCAGCAUUAGAACAGCCUGUGAUAACCGGCAGCAGCACGGAAGGUGCCCCUCCAUCCUCAGCACCCUCUCCCCCGUCGGUCACAGCCCCCUCCAUGGGACGCUCCUGUAAAGACAGAGGAACCCGUGUGCUCCUGGGGGCAGGCGGACCCAGUGCCCGCUCCUCUGCUGAGCAAACAUGCUGAGGUUAAAGAAGGAGCAUGCUCUCCGGCUAAGUCAACACUCCAGGGAAGCUGGAGCAACCGAGAAAGGUUAGAGGGAGGCUGCCUCUUGGGGUGGGGCUGGUGAAAAACAAUGGUGAGGCAGCUCAGGCUAUGAGCCAAAUCCUGUGGUGAGGAUCUGCAGGGAAAGGCGCCCAGGGACUGGGGCUCACCCGCUCCAGGGGACUAGGCAAUGAGGCAGUGAAUCCAACUAUCAGCCAAGCACCCACAGGGAGAACCUACUGGGUACCAGAGGCUCUACCUAUUAGGACCAGAAGCUUAGAGUGGGAGGGCCCUUGUGGAUAAGCUGUGUCGUUGCAAUAUUUUAAUGAUGAAGACCUAGAAAAACAGCCUCCAUCUUGGGGCUGGUUCAUGCUGAGAGGGAGUAACCAGCCACUGGGUGCAACUUCGCAUCAGAGGACAACCCACUCCUCAGGAAGCACUCUUCCAGCCAGCUGGGCUCAACUCUCCUUAACAGGCACCAACAUGGAAGAUGCCACAGUGAGAGGCCUUAAAAUGUAGGUCAGGAGAGGGGCCUACAGUGACCUCUAUGCAUGUCUUGCUGUAAGGAUAGAUGUCAGGUUCUUCCUGAGAGCCUGUCACCUCGGAGAGGCAGAGGGAACAGAGGAGAGAGACCAGCAGCCAGACCUAUACAGCCUGCACGGGUGAGGUCUACAUGGACCUGUCCUGGUGUCUCCAAGUCCUCCCUUUUCAGUGCUUCGUCUUAGUAUUUCAGAUGCAGAGACAAAUCAGAAGGAAACCCUGCCCUCAAGGAGCGCAUGGUCUGGUGAGGCGCGGAAAGAAGCUGGAGAAACUGAGCCCAGAGAAGAUGAAGAGGACUGAGUCUCUCUCUCCUUUUAACUUUGCAUUGACUCCUGUUCUGCAAAAUGACACUGGGACAUGCUGAUCUCCCUUAAUCAAAUGACUCCGUUUCUGAGAAU